rnacentral:rRNA from 1 species
UAGGGAAUCUUCGGCAAUGGACGGAAGUCUGACCGAGCAACGCCGCGUGAGUGAAGAAGGUUUUCGGAUCGUAAAGCUCUGUUGUUAGAGAAGAAUGUUGGCAGGAGUGGAAAAUCUACCAAGUGACGGUAACUAACCAGAAAGGGACGGCCAACUACGUGCCAGCAGCCGCGGUAAUACGUAGGUCUCGAGCGUUGUCCGGAUUUAUUGGGCGUAAAGCGAGCGCAGGCGGUUCUUUAAGUCUGAAGUUAAAGGCAGUGGCUUAACCAUUGUACGCUUUGGAAACUGGAGGACUUGAGUGCAGGAGGGGAGAGUGGAAUUCCAAGUGUAGCGGUGAAAUGCGUAGAUAUAUGGAGGAACACCGGUGGCGAAAGCAGCUCUCUGAUCUGUAACUGACGAUGAGGCUCGAAAGCGUGGGGAGCAAACAGG